rnacentral:rRNA from 1 species
UGAACGCUGGCGGUAGGCCUAACACAUGCAAGUCGAACGGCAGCACAGUAAGAGCUUGCUCUUACGGGUGGCGGGUGGCGGACGGGUGAGGAAUACAUCGGAAUCUACUUUUUCGUGGGGGAUAACGUAGGGAAACUUACGCUAAUACCGCAUACGACCUACGGGUGAAAGCAGGGGAUCUUCGGACCUUGCGCGAUUGAAUGAGCCGAUGUCGGAUUAGCUAGUUGGCGGGGUAAAGGCCCACCAAGGCGACGAUCCGUAGCUGGUCUGAGAGGAUGAUCAGCCACACUGGAACUGAGACACGGUCCAGACUCCUACGGGAGGCAGCAGUGGGGAAUAUUGGACAAUGGGCGCAAGCCUGAUCCAGCCAUACCGCGUGGGUGAAGAAGGCCUUCGGGUUGUAAAGCCCUUUUGUUGGGAAAGAAAAGCAGCAGGUUAAUACCCCGCUGUUCUGACGGUACCCAAAGAAUAAGCACCGGCUAACUUCGUG